rnacentral:rRNA from 1 species
AACGAACGCUGGCGGCAUGCCUAACACAUGCAAGUCGAACGGGAUCCUGGCUUCGGUCAGGUGAGAGUGGCGGACGGGUGAGUAACGCGUGGGAACCUGCCCAGUGGUGGGGGAUAACUGCGGGAAACUGCAGCUAAUACCGCAUGAGCCCGAGAGGGGAAAGAUUUAUCGCCAUUGGAGGGGCCCGCGUUCGAUUAGGUAGUUGGUGAGGUAACGGCUCACCAAGCCGACGAUCGAUAGCUGGUCUGAGAGGAUGAUCAGCCACACUGGGACUGAGAUACGGCCCAGACUCCUACGGGAGGCAGCAGUGGGGAAUAUUGGACAAUGGGGGGCAACCCUGAUCCAGCAAUGCCGCGUGAGUG